rnacentral:rRNA from 1 species
UGGUUAUGCUAAUAAGAGCGUAUGGUGGAUGCCUUGGCACUAAGAGCCGAUGAAAGACGUGAUAAGCUGCGAAAAGCUUCGGGGAGGAGCAAAUAUCCUGAGAUCCGGAGAUAUCUGAAUGGGGAAACCUACUUGAGAAGACCUCAAGUAUCCACAGCCCAAUCCAUAAGCUGUGGAAGGGAACCCGGUGAACUGAAACAUCUAAGUAGCCGGAGGAAGAGAAAACAACAUGUGAUUCCGUAAGUAGCGGCGAGCGAACGCGGAAGAGCCCAAACCGGAGUGCGUGCACUCCGGGGUUCGGACUGCAGGAUUGACGAGUGAGCCUAGUAGAAUGGUUUUGGGAAAGCCAGCCAGAGAGGGUGAAAGCCCCGUACACGAAAGGCAAGCGAGCAUGGCAGGAUCCAGAGUACCACGAGACACGUGAAACCUUGUGGGAAUGAGCGGGGACCACCCCGUAAGGCUAAAUACUCCUUAGUGACCGAUAGCGCAUAGUACUGUGAAGGAAAGGUGAAAAGGACCCCGGGAGGGGAGUGAAAGAGAACCUGAAACCAUAUGUUUACAAGCUGUGGAACAUCUUUAUAUGAUGAACCGCGUACUUUUUGUAGAACGGUCCGGCGAGUUACGCUGGCUGGCGAGGUUAAGGGCUGAAGGCCUGGAGCCGAAGGGAAACCGAGUCUGAACAGGGCGAAAUAGUCAGUCGGAGUAGACCCGAAACCGGGUGAUCUAUCCAUGUCCAGGUUGAAGUUGCCGUAAAAGGCAAUGGAGGACCGAACCCACAUCCGUUGAAAAGGGUGGGGAUGAGGGGUGGAUAGGGGAGAAAUUCCAAUCGAACCCGGAGAUAGCUGGUUCUCCUCGAAAUAGCUUUAGGGCUAGCCUCAUGCAAGUCUUACGGAGGUAGAGCACUGAAUUCCUAAGGGGGCGUCAAAGCUUACCAAGGGAUAUCAAACUCCGAAUGCCGUGUAGAUGGUGCAUGGGAGUCAGACUAUCCGAGAUAAGUUGGGUAGUCAAAAGGGAAAGAGCCCAGACCUACAGCUAAGGUCCCAAAAUGUGUGUUAAGUGGAAAAGGAUGUGGGAUUUCGAAGACAACUAGGAUGUUGGCUUAGAAGCAGCCAUCCAUUAAAAGAGUGCGUAAUAGCUCACUAGUCGAGAGGUCCUGCGCCGAAAAUGUCCGGGGCUGAAACACACUACCGAAGCUUGGGAAUUGACGAAUGUUAAUUGGUAGAGGAGCAUUCUUAACGGGGCGAAGCUGUACCGGAAGGAGCAGUGGACUGUUAAGAAGAGAGAAUGCCGGAAUGAGUAGCGAGAGGAAGGUGAGAAUCCUUCCGGCCGAAUAUCUAAGGUUUCCAGAGUAAAGCUGAUCUGCUCUGGGUAAGUCGGGGCCUAAGGCGAGGUCGAAAGACGUAGUCGAUGGAUAACAGGUAAAGAUUCCUGUACUGUAUCAUAACAGAACUGUGGGGACGCAGACAGAGAGCAUAAGCCGGGAAUGGAAAGACCGGUACAAGCGAGGUAGGAGUGCAUCAGGCAAAUCCGGUGCACAAUCUGAAGACGUGAUGUGGGGCGUAAAGCCGGAAGUAUGUGAGCUGGCUGCCAAGAAAAGCCGCUAUUGUUUAUGAUAUACCCGUACCGUAAACCGACACAGGUGGAUGAGGAGAGAAUCCUAAGGCCGACGGGAGAAGCAUUGUUAAGGAACUCGGCAAAAUGACUCCGUAACUUCGGGAGAAGGAGUGCCAUGUAAAAGUGGCCGCAGAGAAUUGGCCCAAGCAACUGUUUAGCAAAAACACAGGUCUAUGCAAAACCGAAAGGUGAGGUAUAUGGGCUGACGCCUGCCCGGUGCUGGAAGGUUAAGGGGAGAGGUUAGCCGUAAGGCGAAGCUUUGAACUUAAGCCCCAGUAAACGGCGGCCGUAACUAUAACGGUCCUAAGGUAGCGAAAUUCCUUGUCGGGUAAGUUCCGACCCGCACGAAAGGCGUAAUGAUUUGGGCACUGUCUCAACAAUGCACCCGGUGAAAUUGAAAUACCAGUGAAGAUGCUGGUUACCUGCGCCAGGACGGAAAGACCCCAUGGAGCUUUACUCCAGCUUGAUACUGGGAUUCGAUAUUGCAUGUACAGGAUAGGUGGGAGACUNNNNNNNNNNNNNUGAAACGGUGACGCCAGUUGCCGCGGAGUCAAUGUUGGGAUACCACCCUUGCAGUAUUGGAUUUCUAACAUGUGCCCGUGAACCGGGCAGUGGACAAUGCCAGGCGGGGAGUUUGACUGGGGCGGUCGCCUCCGAAAGGGUAUCGGAGGCGCUCAAAGGUUCCCUCAGAAUGGUUGGAAACCAUUCGAAGAGUGCAAAGGCAGAAGGGAGCUUGACUGCGACACCGACGGGUGGAGCAGGUACGAAAGUAGGACUUAGUGAUCCGGUGGUAUAAAGUGGGAUUGCCAUCGCUCAACGGAUAAAAGCUACCCUGGGGAUAACAGGCUUAUCACUCCCAAGAGUUCACAUCGACGGAGUGGUUUGGCACCUCGAUGUCGGCUCAUCGCAUCCUGGGGCUGAAGUAGGUCCCAAGGGUUGGGCUGUUCGCCCAUUAAAGCGGUACGCGAGCUGGGUUCAGAACGUCGUGAGACAGUUCGGUCCCUAUCCGGCGUGGGCGUAGGAUAUUUGAGAGGAGCUGCCCUUAGUACGAGAGGACCGGGGUGGACUGGCCGCUGGUGGAUCUGUUGUAUUACCAAAUGCAUAGCAGAGUAGCCAAGCCGGGACGGGAUAAACGCUGAAGGCAUCUAAGCGUGAAGCCCCCCUCAAGAUGAGAUAUCCCAUAACGUCAAGUUAGUAAGACCCCUUGAAGACGACGAGGUAGAUAGGGCAGAGGUGGAAGUGCGGUAACGCAUGGAGCUGACUGUUACUAAUAGGUCGAGGGCAUAACCAA